AACGAACGCUGGCGGCAUGCCUAACACAUGCAAGUCGAACGAGACCUUCGGGUCUAUUGGCGCACGGGUGCGUAACGCGUGGGAACCUGCCCUUAGGUUCGGAAUAACUCCCCGAAAGGGGUGCUAAUACCGGAUAAUGUCUUCGGACCAAAGAUUUAUCGCCUUUGGAUGGGCCCGCGUUGGAUUAGCUAGUUGGUAGGGUAAAAGCCUACCAAGGCGACGAUCCAUAGCUGGUCUGAGAGGAUGAUCAGCCACACUGGGACUGAGACACGGCCCAGACUGCUACGGGAGGAAGCAGUGGGGAAUAGUGGACAAUGGGCGAAAGCCUGAUGAAGCAAUGCCGGGUGAGAGAUGAAGGCAUUAGGGUUGUAAAGCUCUUUUACCCGGGAUGAUAAUGACAGUACCGGGAGAAUAAGCUCCGGCUAACUCCGUG
rnacentral:rRNA from 1 species